GGGGAUGUAGCGCAGUGGCAGCGCGUCUGCUUUGCACUCUCGCCCAGUCACAACCGGCUAGCGAGUGCACGCCUGCAGAAGGCCUGGGGUUCGAACCCCCACUUCUCCA